GGGGGGCAGCAACCAGGACUACCUCUGGGCUACCCCAUCAAGGCGCCUAAGCUCCCUGGUGGUUAUGGGCUGCCCUACACCACGGGGAAGUUACCAUAUGGUGGUAAUGGAGCUCGCGGGGUGCUCGGUGGAGCUGGAGGAAAGGGUGGCUACCCCACGGGCACGGGUGUAGGAGCCCAGGCAGCAGCCGCAAAAGCAGCUGCGAAAUACGG